rnacentral:rRNA from 1 species
UGGGCGUAAGGGCUCGCAGGCGGUUUCUUAAGUCUGAUGUGAAAGCCCCCGGCUCAACCGGGGAGGGUCAUUGGAAACUGGGGAACUUGAGUGCAGAAGAGGAGAGUGGAAUUCCACGUGUAGCGGUGAAAUGCGUAGAGAUGUGGAGGAACACCAGUGGCGAAGGCGACUCUCUGGUCUGUAACUGACGCUGAGGAGCGAAAGCGUGGGGAGCGAACAGGAUUAGAUACCCUGGUAGUCCACGCCGUAAACGAUGAGUGCUAAGUGUUAGGGGGUUUCCGCCCCUUAGUGCUGCAGCUAACGCAUUAAGCACUCCGCCUGGGGAGUACGGUCGCAAGACUGAAACUCAAAGGAAUUGACGGGGGCCCGCACAAGCGGUGGAGCAUGUGGUUUAAUUCGAAGCAACGCGAAGAACCUUACCAGGUCUUGACAUCCUCUGACACUCCUAGAGAUAGGACGUCCCCUUCGGGGGCAGAGUGACAGGUGGUGCAUGGUUGUCGUCACCUCGUGUCGUGAGAUGUUGGGUUAAGUCCCGC